rnacentral:misc_RNA from 1 species
AACUGUUUCGAGUUUUCUGCACAGGUUUUGUUUCACAACUUACCUAUUUAUCUGUUUGGCAUUGCAUUUAAAACUGCUUUUUGGAAAGUGCUUUUUCCAAAAUGCAAUUUCUUACUGCCUUUUGAGCUGUUUUAGAUUUAUUACUGCUUUUAAUCAACAUAUUUUACUGGGUUUUUUUUCUCAACAAAAAACUUUAGUAUCAAAGCGAAACAGAUUCUAUGUUAGUAUGCCUGAGUGGAAUACAGAUUAUGUAACUAAACCUGAGUUCGGGUCAUUUUUUGAAUUAUGUGCAUGGGUUUCACCUCCUUUAUUACUUUAUGUCUCUUUCAAUAACCCUAUAUAAAAGUUUUAACUAUAUAUGUUACAUAUUGUGUUUCUGUGAUUUAAAUAACUAAAAGAAAUAGAAAAAAAAAAUUUAACCUCAUUAACACUAUUCAGUAAUGAUUAUCCUGUAAACGUGGUGUUUAAUUCAAAGAGCAUGGUGGUAUUCCCUUGUUGGCAAUAGCAUCUUUGCCUAUUAUUUGUUGUUUAUGAUGAAAAUGUGUUCCAGCUGUAGCUUUUAAAUUCAGAAUUAAUACAGUUUAAUCUCUCUUUUUUCACAACUUUUCCUGUUUCCCAUGCUUCUAAAAUGCAGAGGGAAGGCCUGAUAGAACAG